rnacentral:rRNA from 1 species
AAUGGGUAACCAAGCCGACGAGGCGGAGCCAAUCCUAGAAAGACAGGCCUCAGUUCAGAUUGCAGUCUGCAACUCGACUGCAUGAAGCCGGAGUUGCUAGUAACCGCAGGUCAGCAAUACUGCGGUGAAUACGUUCCCGGGUCUU